rnacentral:rRNA from 1 species
CCGUGUACGUACAAGCAGUGGGAGCACCCUUUGGGUGUGACUGCGUACCUUUUGUAUAAUGGGUCAGCGACUUAUAUUCUGUAGCAAGGUUAACCGAAUAGGGGAGCCGGAGGGAAACCGAGUCUUAACCGGGCGUUAAGUUGCAGGGUAUAGACCCGAAACCCGGUGAUCUAGCCAUGGGCAGGUUGAAGGUUGGGUAACACUAACUGGAGGACCGAACCGACUAAUGUUGAAAAAUUAGCGGAUGACCUGUGGCUGGGGGUGAAAGGCCAAUCAAACCGGGAGAUAGCUGGUUCUCCCCGAAAGCUAUUUAGGUAGCGCCUCGUGAAUUCAUCUCCGGGGGUAGAGCACUGUUUCGGCUAGGGGGCCAUCCCGGCUUACCAACCCGAUGCAAACUGCGAAUACCGGAGAAUGUUAUCACGGGAGACACACGGCGGGUGCUAACGUCCGUCGUGAAGAGGGAAACAACCCAGACCGCCAGCUAAGGUCCCAAAGUCAUGGUUAAGUGGGAAACGAUGUGGGAAGGCCCAGACAGCCAGGAUGUUGGCUUAGAAGCAGCCAUCAUUUAAAGAAAGCGUAAUAGCUCACUGGUCGAGUCGGCCUGCGCGGAAGAUGUAACGGGGCUAAACCAUGCACCGAAGCUGCGGCAGCGACACUGUGUGUUGUUGGGUAGGGGAGCGUUCUGUAAGCC